UACAGAGGGGGCAAGCGUUGUUCGGAAUUACUGGGCGUAAAGGGCGCGUAGGCGGCCAACUAAGUCGGAUGUGAAAUCCCCAGGCUUAACCUGGGAACUGCAUCCGAUACUGGAUGGCUUGAAUCCGGGAGAGGGAUGUAGAAUUCCAGGUGUAGCGGUGAAAUGCGUAGAUAUCUGGAGGAAUACCGGUGGCGAAGGCGGCAUCCUGGACCAUUACUGACGCUGAGGCGCGAAAGCUAGGGGAGCAAACGGG
rnacentral:rRNA from 1 species